GGGGGGGGGUGGGGGGGGGGGGGGGGCGGGGGGGGCGGGCGGGGGGGCGGGGGGCUGGCGUCUCGGGUGGUCGCGGCGGCCGGGUGGGUAACCCGUGGAUGACCUACCUAUAGGGCUGGGCUAACGUCGGGACACCGGAGCUAAUACCGGAUACUCUGUUGGACCGCGUGGGUCCAACGUACAAGCCGGUGUUGCUGUCCCUUCUCGAUGGAUCCGCGCUGCAUUAGCUAGUUGGUAAGGUACCGGCUUACCAAGGCAACGAUGCCUAGCCGACCUGCCAGGGUGAUCGGCCACACUGGAACUGAGACACGGUCCAGACUCCUACGGGAGGCAGCAGUAGGGAAUCUUGCGCAAUGGGCGAAAGCCUGACGGAGCAACGCCGCGUGAGUGAUGAAGGUCUUCGGAUCGUAAAACUCUGUUAUUAGGGAAGAACAUAUGUGUAAGUAACUGUGCACAUCUUGACGGUACCUAAUCAGAAAGCCACGGCUAACUAUGUG
rnacentral:rRNA from 1 species